GAUGAACGCUGGCGGCGUGCCUAAUACAUGCAAGUCGAGCGAACAGACGAGGAGUUUGCUCCUCUGACGUGAGCGGCGGAGGGGUGAGUAACAUGUGGAUAACCUAUCUAUAAGACUGGGAUAACUCCGGGAAACCGGUGAUAACACCGGAUAAUAUAUUGUAACACAUGGUUCAAUUGUGAACGACGGCUUUGCUGUUACUCAUAGACUGAUCCGCGCCGCAUUAGCUAGUUGGUAAGGUAACGGCUUACCAAGGCGACGAUCAGUAGCCGGCCUGAGAGGAUGAUCAGCCACACUGGAACUGAGACACGGCCCAGACUCCUACGGGAGGCAGCAGUGGGGAAUCUUCCACAAUGGGCGAAAGCCUGACGGAGCAACGCCGCGUGUGUGAUGAAGGUCUUCGGAUCGUAAAGCUCUUUUGUUAGGAAAGAACAACUGUGUAAGUAACUGUGCGCGUCUUGACGGUACCGGAACAGAAAGCCACGGCUAACUACGUG
rnacentral:rRNA from 1 species